rnacentral:siRNA from 1 species
ACAAAUUGAAAUGGUUAUGAUUA